CCUACGGGUGGCAGCAGGGAGGAAGAUUGGUCAAUGGGCGCGAGCCGGAACCAGCCAAGGAGCGGGAAGGAUGACAGCCCAACGGGUGGUAAACUUCUUUUAUAAAGGAAUAAAGUGAGGCACGUGUGCCUUUUUGUAUGUACUUUAUGAAUAAGGAUCGGCUAACUCCGUGCCAGCAGCCGCGGUAAUACGGAGGAUCCGAGCGUUAUCCGGAUUUAUUGGGUUUAAAGGGAGCGUUGAUGGGUUGUUAAGUCAGUUGUGAAAGUUUGCGGCUCAACCGUAAAAUUGCAAUUGAUACUGGCAGCCUUGAGUCCAGUUGAGGUCGGCGGAAUUCGUGGUGUAGCGGU
rnacentral:rRNA from 1 species